GAUGAACGCUGGCGGCGUGCCUAAUACAUGCAAGUCGAGCGAACGGACGAGAAGCUUGCUUCUCUGAUGUUAGCGGCGGACGGGUGAGUAACACGUGGAUAACCUACCUAUAAGACUGGGAUAACUUCGGGAAACCGGAGCUAAUACCGGAUAAUAUUUUGAACCGCAUGGUUCAAAAGUGAAAGACGGUCUUUCUGUCACUUAUAGAUGGAUCCGCGCUGCAUUAGCUAGUUGGUAAGGUAACGGCUUACCAAGGCAACGAUGCGUAGCCGACCUGUGAGAGGGAUCGGCCACCCUGGAACUGGGACACGGACCAGGCUCCUACGGGAGGCAGCAGUAGGGAAUCUGCCGCAGUGGGCGAAAGCCUGACGGAGCAACGCCGAGUGAGAGAUGAAGGUCUUCGGAUCGUAAAACUCUGUUAUUAGGGAAGAACAUAUGUGUAAGGAACUGUGCACAUCUUGACGGUACCUAAUUAGAAAGCCACGGCUAACUACGUG
rnacentral:rRNA from 1 species